ACCAAAUAGAUACCCGGGUAGUCCACGCCCUAAACGAUGCGAACUGGAUGUUGGGUACAUUACGGUACUCAGUGUCGAAAGCUAAACGCGUUAAGUUCGCCGCCUGGGGAGUACGGUCGCAAGACUGAAACUCAAAGGAAUUGACGGGGCCGGCACAAGCGGUGGAGUAUGUGGUUUAAUUACGAUGCAACGCGAAGAACCUUACCUGGCCGUUGUACAUCUGUCGAAUCCUGCAGAGAUGCGGGAGUGCCGCAAGGAACGACAAGACAGGUGCUGCAUGGCUGUCGUCAGCUCGUGUCGUGAGAUGUUGGGUUAAGUCCCGCAACGAGCGCAACCCUUGUCCCUAGUUGCCAGCACGUAAUGGUGGGAACUCUAGGGAGACUGCCGGUGAC
rnacentral:rRNA from 1 species